UCGNNCGAACUNUCCGUUAAUUGAUNANNGACGUGCUUGCACUGAAUGAGAUUUUAACNNGAAGUGAGUGGCGGACGGGUGAGUAACACGUGGGUAACCUGCCCAGAAGCAGGGGAUAACACCUGGAAACAGAUGCUAAUACCGUAUAACAGAGAAAACCGCCUGGUUUUCUUUUAAAAGAUGGCUCUGCUAUCACUUCUGGAUGGACCCGCGGCGCAUUAGCUAGUUGGUGAGGUAACGGCUCACCAAGGCAAUGAUGCGUAGCCGACCUGAGAGGGUAAUCGGCCACAUUGGGACUGAGACACGGCCCAGACUCCUACGGGAGGCAGCAGUAGGGAAUCUUCCACAAUGGACGCAAGUCUGAUGGAGCAACGCCGCGUGAGUGAAGAAGGGUUUCGGCUCGUAAAGCUCUGUUGUUAAAGAAGAACGUGGGUGAGAGUAACUGUUCACCCAGUGACGGUAUUUAACCAGAAAGCCACGGCUAACUACGUGCCAGCAGCCGCGGUAAUACGUAGGUGGCAAGCGUUAUCCGGAUUUAUUGGGCGUAAAGCGAGCGCAGGCGGUCUUUUAAGUCUAAUGUGAAAGCCUUCGGCUCAACCGAAGAAGUGCAUUGGAAACUGGGAGACUUGAGUGCAGAAGAGGACAGUGGAACUCCAUGUGUAGCGGUGAAAUGCGUAGAUAUAUGGAAGAACACCAGUGGCGAAGGCGGCUGUCUGGUCUGUAACUGACGCUGAGGCUCGAAAGCAUGGGUAGCGAACAGGAUUAGAUACCCUGGUAGUCCAUGCCGUAAACGAUGAUUACUAAGUGUUGGAGGGUUUCCGCCCUUCAGUGCUGCAGCUAACGCAUUAAGUAAUCCGCCUGGGGAGUACGACCGCAAGGNUUGAAACUCAAAAGAAUUGACGGGGGCCCGCACAAGCGGUGGAGCAUGUGGUUUAAUUCGAAGCUACGCGAAGAACCUUACCAGGUCUUGACAUCUUCUGCCAACCUAAGAGAUUAGGCGUUCCCUUCGGGGACAGAAUGACAGGUGGUGCAUGGUUGUCGUCAGCUCGUGUCGUGAGAUGUUGGGUUAAGUCCCGCAACGAGCGCAACCCUUAUUACUAGUUGCCAGCAUUCAGUUGGGCACUCUAGUGAGACUGCCGGUGACAAACCGGAGGAAGGUGGGGACGACGUCAAAUCAUCAUGCCCCUUAUGACCUGGGCUACACACGUGCUACAAUGGAUGGUACAACGAGUCGCGAAACCGCGAGGUUUAGCUAAUCUCUUAAAACCAUUCUCAGUUCGGACUGUAGGCUGCAACUCGCCUACACGAAGUCGGAAUCGCUAGUAAUCGCGGAUCAGCAUGCCGCGGUGAAUACGUUCCCGGGCCUUGUACACACCGCCCGUCACACCAUGAGAGUUUGUAACACCCAAAGCCGGUGG
rnacentral:rRNA from 1 species